rnacentral:rRNA from 1 species
CUUCCGUAGGGUGAACCUGCGGAAGGAUCAUUACCGAGUGUAGGGUUCCUAGCGAGCCCAACCUCCCACCCGUGUUUACUGUACCUUAGUUGCUUCGGCGGGCCCGCCAUUCAUGGCCGCCGGGGGCUCUCAGCCCCGGGCCCGCGCCCGCCGGAGACACCACGAACUCUGUCUGAUCUAGUGAAGUCUGAGUUGAUUGUAUCGCAAUCAGUUAAAACUUUCAACAAUGGAUCUCUUGGUUCCGGCAUCGAUGAAGAACGCAGCGAAAUGCGAUAACUAGUGUGAAUUGCAGAAUUCCGUGAAUCAUCGAGUCUUUGAACGCACAUUGCGCCCCCUGGUAUUCCGGGGGGCAUGCCUGUCCGAGCGUCAUUGCUGCCCAUCAAGCACGGCUUGUGUGUUGGGUCGUCGUCCCCUCUCCGGGGGGGACGGGCCCCAAAGGCAGCGGCGGCACCGCGUCCGAUCCUCGAGCGUAUGGGGCUUUGUCACCCGCUCUGUAGGCCCGGCCGGCGCUUGCCGAACGCAAAUCAAUCUUUUCCAGGUUGACCUCGGAUCAGGUAGGGAUACCCGCUGAACUUAAGCAUAUCAAUAAGCGGAGGA